ACGGCUUGUACCCUCCUAAUACUCCCCACCCCACCCCUUUCCCCCACUGGACACACUGUGCUUAAGCUGACGAAUAAGCUUGACACCCAUCUCCUGAUAGCACCCCCAUGGUUAGGUGUGUGCCCCACCCUGUGUCCAAAAUUUCCCAGUCCAUGGUCUUGAACUGCAAUGCCUUGCUUGUAGCAUUUCCUAUUCUAAGGCUAUUCCCCCUGUCCCCCCUCCCCGCCCAGUGUAAUUAACAAAAUGGGUCAGAGGUUAAUCACCAUGUUCUUUUGCCCCUUCCAGAAGACCCUUUUGUGUUUUCCCGACACUGACUUCGGAGACCGCCCCUCUAAGCAGAGGGCCAUGUCGCCUGCUGCGUGUUGCUGCAUCUAGACCCGUAACGCCCACUUCAGAAUGGGAGGGAGGAUGUCUGCUGCCCUGUCGUCUCCACACCCGAGGAAUGUCCGUGUGUGUGGUGUGCACAGCGGGCUGCACACAGCGGGCUCCACGGUGCUCGAAUGGAGGCCCUAAUGUGAAUGGAGACUAGCCUGCUGGUAGAGACCUUGGCAGUGACCGCUGUGGGCAAUGAGCCAUGGGCCAACAAUAUUCAAUGCUGUGUACCUGAUGGAUGGUUACUGUCUGAGACUGAGGUUUUUUGGGCCAGGAGUAAAAGGACUUGGGUAAGUUCAAUGUUUGGGGUCCUGGUGUGUUGAGUGAUUUGUGCCAUGCGUGGGUAGGUUCACCUCAAAAGGAUGAAUAACAUCUACCAACAGGCAUAAAAGCAAAGGUUAGGCAGGAACGAUAGCUGAUGGCUCACUCUUCUUAUUCUAGUACUGGGGAGACUGAGGCAGGAGGAUUGUUUAUAGCCGUCCUGGGCUACAUAUUGGGAUCUUAUCUAAGAGAGAGAAAGAAAACAGACUCCAAACCAAAACCAAAUAGCUGUAGACAAAACCAGACAAAGCAAAACAAAACCUAAAAGGAGCAUUAAAAGGAUGCCAUGAUUGGAGAAGAUGUGAAGUGUUUUUAGCACAGAUGUGACAAUCACAUAGUGCAGAUAUUAGCUAGCUAGAAAUUAGUCAUUUUGUGGUGUUUAAGUCCUUGAAACAUUAUGUGCACACUUAAUGUGCACAAUUUUAUCUUUCAGUUAUAAAAGCAAACCAAGAACAAAAUGAAACAAGCUGCCAGGUGUCAGCUGUUGGUGGGUUUGAGAUUGACUGGUUUUACCCUAACCCAGGUCCUCUAGAGAUAAGUCUGAGGGCUGUCACAUUUGUCCACACAGUCUUCUCAAAGGCUAUUCUGUCUUUAUGUGAUUCUAGCCCAUCAGUAGAGAUCUGAGUAACUUAGCGGGGUCCUCAAUGUGGUCUGUGGCUCUCCAGCUUCGCAGUCUGUUGGGUACCCUCUCGCCCCAUUGAAUGAAUAGCAGUGUGGGAAGAAGCAAUGUGAUUGUGAUUGGGUAAUUUAUCUACCUGGGCCUUAGGUCCAAUUAAUAUGGCACCUUAUUUACCUGCUCUGUGAACAUGAGCAGGACAAGAGCAAAAAGAUUUUGGUUUUUUUUUUUUUUUUUUUUUUUUUUUGGAUUUCUGUGAUUCAUGGGCACUAAGAUUUUUAAUUAGAGAAACUCUGAAUGAAGAAAAAAAAAUCAGUAAAUUAUGCAGAAACAGUCGUAAACAUACAGAUAAAUAAAUGAGGCAAACGCAUUGAGCGUGAAUCA
rnacentral:lncRNA from 1 species